rnacentral:rRNA from 1 species
AGAACGAACGCUGGCGGCAUGCCUAAUACAUGCAAGUCGAACGAACUCUUCGGAGUUAGUGGCGCACGGGUGCGUAACGCGUGGGAAUCUGCCCCUUGGUUCGGAAUAACAGUUGGAAACGACUGCUAAUACCGGAUGAUGACGAAAGUCCAAAGAUUUAUCGCCAAGGGAUGAGCCCGCGUAGGAUUAGCUAGUUGGUGAGGUAAAGGCUCACCAAGGCAACGAUCCUUAGCUGGUCUGAGAGGAUGAUCAGCCACACUGGGACUGAGACACGGCCAGACUCUACGGAGCAGCAGUAGGAAUAUGGACAAUGGGACGAAAGCCUGAGUCCAAGCAAGUCGCCGGCGUGAGUAGAUAGAACGG